AUUGAACGCUGGCGGCAUGCUUUACGCAUGCAAGUCGAACGGUAACAGGCCUUCGGGCGCUGACGAGUGGCGAACGGGUGAGUAAUGCAUCGGAACGUGCCCAGUCGUGGGGGGUAACUAUCCGAAAGGAUAGCUAAUACCGCAUACGAUCUGCGGAUGAAAGCGGGGGACCUUCGGGCCUCGCGCGAUUGGAGCGGCCGAUGUCAGAUUAGGUAGUUGGUGGGGUAAAGGCUCACCAAGCCAACGAUCUGUAGCUGGUCUGAGAGGACGACCAGCCACACUGGGACUGAGACACGGCCCAGACUCCUACGGGAGGCAGCAGUGGGGAAUUUUGGACAAUGGGCGCAAGCCUGAUCCAGCAAUGCCGCGUGCAGGAAGAAGGCCUUCGGGUUGUAAACUGCUUUUGUACGGAACGAAACGGCUCUGGUUAAUACCCGGGGCUAAUGACGGUACCGUAAGAAUAAGCACCGGCUAACUACGUGCCAGCCGCCGCGGUAAAAC
rnacentral:rRNA from 1 species